rnacentral:piRNA from 1 species
UGGUAUGCUAAGCAAUCUGUGAAAUGGGAUGC